rnacentral:rRNA from 1 species
UACGUAGGGUGCGAGCGUUGUCCGGAAUUAUUGGGCGUAAAGGGCUCGUAGGCGGUCUGUCACGUCGGGAGUGAAAACUCAGGGCUUAACCCUGAGCCUGCUUCCGAUACGGGCAGACUAGAGGUAUGCAGGGGAGAACGGAAUUCCUGGUGUAGCGGUGAAAUGCGCAGAUAUCAGGAGGAACACCCGUGGCGAAAGCGGCUCUCUGGAACGGUACUGACGCUGAGACGCGAAAGCGUGGGGAGCGAACAGG